rnacentral:snRNA from 1 species
AUCGCUUCUUUGCCUUUUGGCUAAGAUCAAGUGUAGUAUAUAUAACAUUAUGUCCUGAUUUUCUGCCAAGCCUUU